rnacentral:rRNA from 1 species
AGUGAACGCUGGCGGUAGGCCUAACACAUGCCAGUCGAACGGCAGCACAGUAAGAGCUUGCUCUUACGGGUGGCGAGUGGCGGACGGGUGAGGAAUACAUCGGAAUCUACUUUUUCGUGGGGGAUAACGUAGGGAAACUUACGCUAAUACCGCAUACGGCCUACGGGUGAAAGCAGGGGAUCUUCGGACCUUGCGCGAUUGAAUGAGCCGAUGUCGGAUUAGCUAGUUGGCGGGGUAAAGGCCCACCAAGGCGACGAUCCGUAGCUGGUCUGAGAGGAUGAUCAGCCACACUGGAACUGAGACACAGUCCAGACUCCUACGGGAGGCAGCAGUGGGGAAUAUUGGACAAUGGGCGCAAGCCUGAUCCAGCCAUACCGCGUGGGUGAAGAAGGCCUUCGGGUUGUAAAGCCCUUUUGUUGGGAAAGAAAAGCAGCAGGUUAAUACCCCGCUGUUCUGACGGUACCCAAAGAAUAAGCACCGGCUAACUUCGUG